GGGGACCACUGGGGAAGAGGUGGAGGUAAUGACUUCAAUGAUGAGGUCCGCCGCAUGAUUGGUGUCCAAAGCCGACCACCACCACCGUCCUACGUGUACUUCCUCCCUAGCUUCUUCAUUCUUCUGCUACUUUUCUCUUUUCCUAUUGGCUAUUGUAUCAAUUUCCACAAAUGCCCAUCCUCGCAUCUUCUCUAUUAUUUCCACAUUCAGCUUUACUGCAAUGCAAUAGAUUGCAACCAACAACUGUGUCUAGUUGUCAAACAGAUUCAGACUUCAACACCUAUUUACUGAUCAUACUGAAAUUGUCUUCACCUAUGCUUUGGUUGCUGUAAAAAUUUUAUAAUAACUUAUAUAUUUGAUUGAGAAA
rnacentral:misc_RNA from 1 species